ACAAAGUGAAUUUUAGAAAUCAGGUAUUUCUGACAUUCAUUGAAAACUAUGUUGAAAUGCUGUGAAUCAGAGACAGAGCGCCUUAUCUUGGAAAACAACUAUUCCACAUAAAGAAGACCAGAGAACGGAAGUGAAUAACAGAUAAAAAUGCAAGGUGUGUUACAGUGAACUAGCAUGCUAUGAUGAUUCUGCCCAGCUCACAUACUCCAUGUCUUGAUAUUUCGACACUUAAGGUCUCUAAACCCUGGAGCUGAAUGCUGGCCUAUAAAAGAACAUUUUUGUUUUCUGUCUGUGAAAACAAAUGAAACGUACUGAAACCAUAUGGCUAAUCUAUUCAGUAUGUUUUUGAAAUUGUAUUCUGGUUUCUCUUCCCUCAGACAUGGCUAGAGAGGUGUCCUUUAAGCCUAAAAUCUCUCCUCCAGAGAGAUGUGCAAACAUGACUUUUAGAAAGCAAAACCACUGGGGUGGAAUGGAAGAAAAUUAAAAACACAACAGUUUUCAGCAUCUCAUCAUUUUCCCUUCACUGACAUACAUCUGUGGAUGUAUCUGUAUAUAUAACCUGUAUAUUUAUCAAACUCCCACUAUGUCAGCUUACUGAAAUUUCCUUUUACCUAAAGUCAUCAGCACAAAUCACUUCCUCCAUUGUUCAUCAUUUGCCCAAGCUUCUGUUUUGAAGUGUUUUAAUGGUACAAGGGAACUUCUUUUGAAAACAAAUACAUUUUAAAUAUAAGUAUCUUCCACGUACAUACUGUAAAAUACUUUCCUAUCAGGAUUCCCUGGAACUUAAUCUGUGUGAUUCAAGGAGAGACAAAUGCGGAAGCAAAUUCAGUAAACAAAUUAUGAAGCAAGUUUAUGAUCUCAGCUUACCAGCUAAAGAAGUCAAACACUACCCAUGAACUAGGCAAGACAUUAGCACAGUCUUCAGACUUGGCCUGUCUUAGACCACUAGUCUUUGACCUCUUCUGAGAUGAGAAAGAAGGAUGCCAACAAGUACCAUCAGUGAUUAUCCUUUCUACAACAGAAUCAUCUGAAAUCACAUAGAACCUUGACAGAGCUUAUCUACCAUUAAAAAUUUUGGUCAUUUUCAUGCUGUGCUAAAUUUGAAGAGUUCAUGUUUUCAUGUUUAACUAAGAAAAGAAAAAAUCAGUCUGAAAGAACAUAAUAAUAA
rnacentral:lncRNA from 1 species